ACACUCUUGUACUGCAGGAUUUUCAUCUCCGAACUUUUCCACUGACCUUUUUUUUUUCGUUUUUCUUUUUUCUUCUUUGUGCAGCAGCAAUUUAAUCAGGUGACUGUUUCAUUAGUGUGGAUCUGUUGCUUCCUUUUCCGAGUAAAAGUGGCUGCAAGAAUAUUUAUAAUCCUUUGCAGUGCUCAAAUUUUUUCAUAUCUGCAAAGAAGAAAUGUGCAAGCAGAUUCUUGGCUGUUGUGGCCACUGGAAAAUUCCCAACUGUUUGAGAAUGGCAUUAUGGGUCCACUUUGGAGAUUGGGUUCAUUACUUUGUAUAUCUUUUCAGUUGUCACUCUCAGGUUCAUGGAUUCUUCAAUAAAUACAACUUUUGCCCAUUCUUUCUGAAAAAUAGAUUGCAUAGAUCAUUGCUGUGACCGUAAGCUCUAAAGGAUUAUUUAGGGCACAUAUGGUACACUGAAGCGAACAUUAUUUGAUAGAUAGAAAAACUUUAUAAAUUUUGUCGCACUUCUCUAUCUUUAAUUCAAUGUAGUCAUGAUUCGCUACGAGGUUUCACGACUGUU
rnacentral:lncRNA from 1 species